rnacentral:rRNA from 1 species
CCUACGGGUGGCAGCAGUGGGGAAUUUUGGACAAUGGGGGCAACCCUGAUCCAGCCAUGCCGCGUGCGGGAAGAAGGCCUUCGGGUUGUAAACCGCUUUCGGCCGGAACGAAAUCGCCGGGGAGAACAUCCCCGGUGGAUGACGGUACCGGAAGAAGAAGCACCGGCUAACUACGUGCCAGCAGCCGCGGUAAUACGUAGGGUGCGAGCGUUAAUCGGGAUUGCGCGGGGGAAACGGUGAGCAAGCGGUUAAAUCCCCGGGCUUAACCUGGGAACUGCGUGUGUGACUGGCGGGCUGGAGUGCGGAAGAGGGAGGUGGAAUUCCACGUGUAGCAGUGAAAUGCGUAGAGAUGUGGAGGAACACCGAUGGCGAAGGCAGCCUCCUGGUCUAGCACUGACGCUCAUGCACGAAAGCGUGGGGAGCAAACAGGAUUAGAUACCCCAGUAGUC